AUUGAACGCUGGCGGCAGGCCUAACACAUGCAAGUCGAGCGAGCGGCGGACGGGUGAGUAAUGUAUGGGGACUGCCCGCUCGAGGGGGAUCACUACUGGAAACGGUGGCUAAUACCGCAUACUAUCGGCUAACCCAUAUAGGAUAAGCUAGUAGGUGGGGUAAAGGCUCACCUAGGCGACGAGCUCUAGCUGGUCUGAGCGGAGGCACAGCCACACGGGGACUUAGACACGGCCCAGACUCCAACGGAGGCAGCAGGGGGAAAUAUUGCACAAGGGGCGAAAGCCGGAUGCAGCCAUGCCGCGUGUAUGAAGAAGGCCUUAGGGUUGUAAGGUACUUUCAGCGGGGAGGCGUUACCCGCAGAGGAAGCACCGGCGAACUCCGUGCCAGCAGCCGCGGUAAUAC
rnacentral:rRNA from 1 species